rfam:TPA: Bos taurus chromosome 1, whole genome shotgun sequence.
UCUCUGGUGGCCCAGUGGCUAAGGCUCCUCGCUCCCAAUGAGGGGAGUCUGGGUUCGAUCCCUGGUCAGGGAG